GUUGCCACUAGCUCUGGCCCAGGGUGUUAAAGAAGCCCUGGACAAUACAUACGUGGCUACAAGCUCGUAAAGACAUCACAUAUAAGGACAGUUCAUUCAUUUGGCUUACUUCUAUAUAUGUUAGCUAACUAGCUACUUCCUCAAAACGUAAGCGAGUUAAUUAGCUAUCAUGCCAAACUGCUAGUCAACUAGGUAGCUAUGAAGACUCACUCAGGAAUGGGAACGGAGACAGAUAAAUAGUUUCAGAUGCAAUGAGUACUUUACUGAAAAGUUGUGUGUCUGCCAUUACUCCGGAAGGAAGUCCUCUCUAAACAACCCACUUCAAUACCCAAUGAUAUUUAGCGUUAUAGUCUACCAUAACCACUGACUGAUCGACAAACAACCUUGCAUCAAAAAUAGCCAGUCAUUAUUAUUUGUAGAUCAGUCAGUCACAAUUUACCCAUGAUACAUUACAGUUUUGAUCCACCCGAACAAAUACUUAGUCUCAAUACGUAACAAUGGAGUUAAUUAGCCGUCACGCCAAACUGCUAGCUAGCUAUGAAGGCCCAACAGUUUAGUAACAAUUGUCAGUCAUCGAGAAGACGGGCUUCCCCAAGAAGCUCACCAGGAAACCAGAGGACUUCAUACUGUGCAGGUAGGUACAACCAGAGAGCGACCGGUCAACCCGACAAAAUGGAAUCACAGAUAUCACAGAUACAUGGCAUUGGUGAAAUUGAAUUAUUCUUGUAUGCAUAGCCGGUCUAUUCAAUAUACGAUCUCUUUCCCUGGGUGGUUGAACAUCUUCAGUAAUGCUUUCCCUGGGUGGUUGAACAUCUUCAACCGGGAGGGACUGAACGGAAAGACCUUUACAUCUGCUCUGAGACUGGUCCAAAUGGUACUCUAUUCCAAAUGAAUAAAGACAUUACAAAUGUCAUAUUAUGUCUAUAUGUGUGUGUAUACAGUGUUGUAACGCUGUGCAAAUAGUUACAGUACAAAAGGGGGGGACAUAAAUAUGGGUUGUAUUUACUAUGGUGUUUGUUCUUCACUGGUUGACCUUUUCUCGUGACAACAGGUCACACAUCUUGCUGCUGUGAUGUCACACUGUGGUAUUUCACCCAGUAGAUAUGAGAGUUUAUCAACAUUUGAUUUUAAAAAAUAUAUAUUUUGUGGGUCUGUGUCAUCUGAGGGAAAUAUGUGUCUCUAAUAUGGUCAUAUAUUUGGUUGGAGGUUAGGAAGUGCGGCCGAGGGUAAUAUAUGUGUCUCUAAUAUGGUCAUACACUGUCUGGCAGAACGUAUAACUGCUGUUGUCAAUCAUUAUUUCUCCCUUUGUGACCUUAACACUGAGAUUUCCACAUUAUUCUGCUCAUGGUCCCAAAUUGAUGUCAAGAAAUUCUGGUGAAUCAAUUUGGAAAGUAAUGUAGUCUAGUGGUUUUUCAUAUUGAAUAACAGCUGAUGUGAACUGUGGUAUAUUACGACUAUCAGUCUGUGUUGAUAGGGAAAUUGAGAACAAAGGAUGCAGCCAUAACAGGUUAUGACAAUCAGUCUGUGUUGACAGACUUAUUUUCUUUCAAUGUGUCACUUGAGUUGAGAAUGGUGAUAUCACACUGUCUCUUUCAGACAUUGUCCGGUUAGAUGCCCCAGAUAUUGUGUGGCCUAUCACUUCGCAGCUGAGCCUCGUUUGAGAAACAGACGCCUCACAAGUCCUCAACUGGCAGCGUCAUUAAAUGGUACCUUCAAAACACCAGUCUCAAUGUCAACAGUGAAGAGGUGACUCUGGGAUGCUGACCUUCUAGGCAGAGGUCCUCUGUCCCAGUGUCUGUGUUCUUUUGCCCAUCUUAAUCUUUUCUUUUUAUUGGCCAGUCUGAGAUAUGGCUUUUUCUUUGCAACUCUGCCUAGAAGGCCAGCAUCCCGGAGUCGCCUCUUCGCUGUUGACGUUGAGACUGGUGUUUUGCGGGUCCCUUUUUCAGGACCCUGUCUUUCAAAGAUAAUUUGUAAAAAACUUCACAGAUCUUCAUCAAAGGGUUUAAACACUGUUUCCCAUCCUUGUUCAAUGAACCAUAAACAAUUAAUGAACAUGCACCUGUGGAACGGUUGUUAAGACACUAACAGCUUACAGACGGUAGGCAAUUAAGGUCACAGUUAUGAAAACUUAGGACACUAAAGAGUCCUUUCUACUGACUCUGAAAAACACCAAAAGAAAGAUGCCCAGG
rnacentral:lncRNA from 13 species